rnacentral:lncRNA from 1 species
UGGAAACCUCCUGUCUGAAUGCCUUUCCAUAUGUUUUCGGGUCCUAUUUAACUCCAAUGGCUUUCAACGAGGUAAGCAUGAGAAAAGGAAGGGAGAUCAUCCUGUACACUUCCAGAGAAAUAAUCUGCGCUCAAAGGAAUUCGAUUAAAAGUGGGAAACUUAGUUACAGCUGGGUAGGAGUUACUUCUCCCUUUGCUGCGGCCAAAUGCCUGACAGAAACAGCUUCAGAGCGGAGAGGGUGCUUUCCCAUCACAGUUUCAGAGGGUGUGGUCCAGCACGGUUGGGAAGAUGCGGUGCCUGGAAAAACUUGGGCCUGGGCAAUGAGAGCUAGCGGUACAGGCAGAAACAUGACUCGGAACGCUUGGGCCAGAAUACAGGCACUGCCCCCAAGGCCGGUCCCCAGAAACCCACUUCUGUCUUAGUCACACUUCUUGACCUCCCAACACAGCACCAUGAGCCCAGGAUGAAGUCUUCAAACACACGAGCAGAUGAGAGAUCUUUCACAUCCAAGCUGUGAUACGCUAGAAAGAAAAUAAGAACUCAAAACACGGUGAUCCCUGGAGUCCCUGUGGGGAACGGUAGGGACUGUUCUGGUUUUCUCGGUUUUUCUUCAUUUGUUUCCAGUCUGUGUUCCUCCUGCCUCAUCCUGCCUCAGUUUCCCAGAUACUGGGAUUGUCGCAUGCACCCCCACGCCAGGCUCCCUGUUCAUUCUUAGCUCUUCUCUGCGGGCUCUGAGGACACAGUCCAAUAUUCUGAGACCCAUCCAAAAGCCAACUGUAUCCAGCCUUCCACUGGACAGACAGGCUGGUUGUGAAUUCAAAUGGCUCGCCCAGAGAACUCCACUGAUUUAUGAAUAAUCCUUUUUCCUACUUUCCAGGGAUAUAUUUUUCUUUCCCUUAGGUCUGAGGUGAUAGCUCAUUGUUAUCUGAUCUCUUUCCAAA